rnacentral:pre_miRNA from 1 species
GCGACUGUAAACAUCCUCGACUGGAAGCUAGGAGGCCGGAAUGGGCUUUCAGUCGGAUGUUUGCAGCUGC